AGCCCAUGUACCCGUUUCAAAGAAUUCAGAUAGACCACAUCCAGAUGCCAAAGAGUGGCAACUUCGAAUAUGCACUAGUAAUAGUAGACAUGUUCUCAGGCUGGCCAGAAGCCUACCCAGUGGUUAACAUCACCGCAAAAACAACAGCAAGACGGCUACUUACAGAAAUUGUAUGUAGGUUUGGAUUACCAGAAGUCAUUGAAAGUGACCAAGGCCCAGCUUUCACAGCAUCAGUAACCAAAGAGAUUUGGGCCACCCUAGGAGUGACCCUUGCCUUCCACACACCUUAUCACCCACAAAGCAGUGAUCCUGAUUCUGACACAGGCAACCACAGUCUGCUCCCCGGUGACUGGGUUCUGGUCAAGAAAUUUGUGCGAAAACACACCCUGGAACCGAGAUUUGACGGACCGUUCCAAGUUCUCCUGAUCUCCCCUACCUCUGUCAAAUUGGCCGGAAGGCCUAACUGGAUCCACGCUUCCCACUGCAAGAAGACACCUGCCCCAGAGGAAGCUAACUCUAUGCAACCAUGUGCCUCUGGUACAUUAUCUCCUUAGUUGGCCUCCUUAAAGCCCAGCAGGUGGCCAUCACCAAAGAUGCUAGUGGGUACACUUUCUGGUAUAAUUCAUCAUGUACCCAUGUGGCUACAUUCACUUUUGAUUACUG